rnacentral:rRNA from 1 species
UUCGGGCGCCGGCGAGUGGCGAACGGGUGAGUAACACGUGGAGACCUAUCCUUUGGUGGGGGACAACAGCUGGAAACGGCUGCUAAUACCGCAUACGCCCUACGAGGGAAAGAUUUAUUGCCGAAGGAGGGUUCCGCGUCGGAUUAGCUAGUUGGUGGGGUAACGGCCUACCAAGGCGACGAUCCGUAGCUGGUCUUAGAGGAUGAUCAGCCACACUGGGACUGAGACACGGCCCAGACUCCUACGGGAGGCAGCAGUGGGGAAUAUUGCGCAAUGGGGGAAACCCUGACGCAGCGAUGCCGCGUGGGUGAAGAAGGCCUUAGGGUUGUAAAGCCCUUUCAGUGGGAACGAUAGUGACGGUACCCACAGAAGAAGCCCCGGCUAACUCCGUGCCAGCAGCCGCGGUAAUACGGAGGGGGCGAGCGUUGUUCGGAAUUAUUGGGCGUAAAGCGCGCGUAGGCGGUUUAUCAAG